rnacentral:lncRNA from 1 species
UUUUUCUUUUUUUUUUUUUCUUUUUUGAGAUAAGAUGGCCUUUAUUGCAGCACGAACCAAGUGAGGAGGACAGCAUGUCAACAGCUCUCCAGGAGCCACCAAAGGCAAGGGGCCCACCCUGCCCCUGCAACAGGUCCCCCAGGGGCUAGAGCAUAGCUCCCCCAAGGAAGGUCAAGGCAUGCUUGUAAACAGGGGCCCAGAUAACACAGAGAGGGGAGGCGGCCUCAUCGGGUACAGCUUUGCUACAAGAAAGAUUGUUAUUAAUUUCAAAGAGGAGACACCGCCAUGCCUAGCCCUGCCAUCCCAUGCUGCCAGGCUCUAGAGGUAGCUCCUGCCUGCCUAGGGAGUUAGGCCCACCCACUGCCCGUGAGCCUGGCCCAAGCACACUGCAGCCACACAAAAAGCGCUGGCAGCUGACUCCAAAUUUCAGAAACACAAUUAGAAAAGAACUAGGCCGGGCAUGGUGGCUCAUGCCUGUAAUCCCAGCACUUUGGGAGGCCGAGGCGGGCGGAUCAGAAGUUCGAGAACAGCCUGACCAACAUGGUGAAACCCCAUCUCUACUAAAAAUACAAAAAUUAGCUGGGUGUGGUGAUGCGUGCCUGUAAUCCCAGCUACUCAGGAGGCUGAGGCAGGAGAAUCGCUUGAACCCAGAAGGCGGAGGUUGCAGUGAGCCGAGAUUGUGCCAAUGCACUCCAGCCUGGGCGACAGAGUGAGACUCUAUCUCAAAAAAAAAAAAAAAAGAAAAGAAAACUGGAAUGUUACAUUUUUCUCCCAUACAUUAAAAAAUAAGAAAAAGCAAACAUUUUGACUAUAGACCCUGGUAGGUGGCAUCUGACUUUAACCUGAAGUUCUCCUUGGAAUCCUUUUCUGCCUGGCGCUCUGCCUGGCGCUCUGCCAUCCACAAUCAGCCCCAGCCCCAGGCCCCCCUCACCGGAAGAUCCUGGCCCAUCUCAGAGGAGGGCGGGACCCCGCAGAGUGCCUGGCGAACAGAGCAACCACUGGGAAGACAGGGACUGAUUGGGAAGACAAAUGGGAAAGGAAACAGUAACAGAAGCUGGCGGCCUCCUGCCGGGACCUCAGCGGGAGGUUGCUGGUGAAGGUCCUGGGUGAGCUGGAGAUGGGUGAUAAGGUGACCUUGCUGGGUGGUAGUCUCAGGCUGUUCCUGGGCACCUGUCACAUAGACCCCUGUGGGCACAGUGUGGGGCCCCACACCCUUCCCAGGGUU